GCUGCAGUAGAUAUCUCAGAUAGGGGGGAGUGAACAGGUGUUGUAUAAGGAGGAUGAGGGCUGCAGUAGGUAUCUCAGAUAGGGGGGAGUGAACAGGUGUUGUAUGUGGAGGAUGAGGGCUGCAGUAGAUAUCUCAGAUAGGGGGGAGUGAACAGGUGUUGUAUAAGGAGGAUGAGGGCUGCAGUAGAUAUCUCAGAUAGGGGGGAGUGAACAGGUGUUGUAUGUGGAGGAUGAGGGCUGCAGUAGAUAUCUCAGAUAGGGGGGAGUGAACAGGUGUUGUAUAAGGAGGAUGAGGGCUGCAGUAGAUAUCUCAGAUAGGGGGGAGUGAACAGGUGUUGUAUGUGGAGGAUGAGGGCUGCAGUAGGUAUCUCAGAUAGGGGGGAGUGAACAGGUGUUGUAUGUGGAGGAUGAGGGCUGCAGUAGGUAUCUCAGAUAGGGGGGAGUGAACAGGUGUUGUAUGUGGAGGAUGAGGGCUGCAGUAGGUAUCUCAGAUAGGGGGGAGUGAACAGGUGUUGUAU